rnacentral:rRNA from 1 species
AGGAUGAAUGCUGGCGGCGCGCCUAACACAUGCAAGUCGAGCGGAAAGGCCCUUCGGGGUACUCGAGCGGCGGACGGCUGAGUAACGCGUGGGAACAUGCCCCAAAGUGAGGAAUAACUGCCCGAAAAGGGUAGCUAAUGCCGCAUAUGAUCUUAGGAUUAAAGGAUUUAUCCGCUUUGGGAGUGGCCCGCGUACGAUUAGGUAGUUGGUGAGGUAAAGGCUCACCAAGCCCACGAUCGUUAACUGGUCUGAGAGGAUGAUCAGUCAGACUGGAACUGAGACACGGUCCAGACUCCUACGGGAGGCAGCAGUGAGGAAUCUUCCACAAUGGGCGAAAGCCUGAUGGAGCGACGCCGCGUGCAGGAUGAAGGCCUUCGGGUUGUAAACUGCUUUUAUAAGUGAAGAAUAUGACGGUAACUUAUGAAUAAGCACCGGCUAACUACGUGCCAGCAGCCGC